rnacentral:rRNA from 1 species
UCCUACGGGAGGCAGCAGUAGGGAAUCUUCCGCAAUGGACGAAAGUCUGACGGAGCAACGCCGCGUGAGUGAUGAAGGCUUUCGGGUCGUAAAACUCUGUUGUUAGGGAAGAACAAGUGCUAGUUGAAUAAGCUGGCACCUUGACGGUACCUAACCAGAAAGCCACGGCUAACUACGUGCCAGCAGCCGCGGUAAUACGUAGGUGGCAAGCGUUAUCCGGAAUUAUUGGGCGUAAAGCGCGCGCAGGUGGUUUCUUAAGUCUGAUGUGAAAGCCCACGGCUCAACCGUGGAGGGUCAUUGGAAACUGGGAGACUUGAGUGCAGAAGAGGAAAGUGGAAUUCCAUGUGUAGCGGUGAAAUGCGUAGAGAUAUGGAGGAACACCAGUGGCGAAGGCGACUUUCUGGUCUGUAACUGACACUGAGGCGCGAAAGCGUGGGGAGCAAACAGGAUUAGAUACCCUGGUAGUCCACGCCGUAAACGAUGUCAACUAGCCGUUGGGAGUCUUGAACUCUUAGUGGCGCAGCUAACGCAUUAAGUUGACCGCCUGGGGAGUACGGCCGCAAGGUUAAAACUCAAAUGAAUUGACGG